rnacentral:rRNA from 1 species
UACAGAGGGUGCAAGCGUUAAUCGGAAUUACUGGGCGUAAAGCGUGCGUAGGUGGUUUGCUAAGUCAGGUGUGAAAUCCUUGGGCUCAACCCAAGAACUGCAUUUGGUACUGGCGGACUUGAGUGCGGUAGAGGAUGGUGGAAUUCCUAGUGUAGAGGUGAAAUUCGUAGAUAUUAGGAAGAACACCGGUGGCGAAGGCGGCCCACUGGAUCGGUACUGACGCUGAGGUGCGAAAGCGUGGGGGAGCAAACAGG